UUGGAGGUAGCGGGAAUGGAGACUGGUAAAAUACAUAAUUCCUUCCCUCAUAGAGUAGUAUUUGAUUAUUGACUAUUGGCUAUUUCAGCAAAUGGAGGGAGGUAGGGAGAGUUGUGAAUAAGGGGUAACAGAGACUUCCCUUGCUCACAGCGCUGCCUACAAAUGUAGAAGCCCAUUACAUCUGUUUCCAGUUCACUGUGCACAUAGGCAAAAUACAU